rnacentral:lncRNA from 1 species
AAACCAUAGAGUGUACUACUCUGUAUGGUAAGACACGGGAUGUAACAUGACACCGAAUACGAAACGGACGUAACGUGGUCAAAACAUGGUGGAUACGCCGUUGUGUUUUGUAGACCUUUUGGACCUAAUACAAACUUUAAACAACUCACAAACGCAUUAUAUCCGAUUAUCCAUGACGAGAAUUCAUUCUUAAUACGCUACUUUCGUAUACCCAAUUCUUAUGCAAUUCUUAUACUCAUAAUAGUUAUUAGAUCAAUCGUUCACCCUUAUACCUCAAUUAUUCUCCGUUGUCUCAAACUCCAAAGCCUCAAUUUUAAACAGUCAUCUUUGGUUUGCCAAAAACCCUUUCGGGCAUUUCUCUUGAAUAAAUUUCGGGACGAAAUUUCCUAAAGGAGGGGAGACUGUAACGCUCCGCGUUUCCACAACUUUCCUAAUUUAGAAAUCGAGACUUAAAAAUCUUUUUUUGAAGUUUGGCUCUUUCAAAAAUUAUAAUCCGUUAUAUCGACGGAAAUCUUUUAUCUUUAUUUUAAUUCGUUAUAAAUGUGGUUAAUUUUUCAUUGUUUAAUCAAUUAAAUUAAUUAAGUUUACAAUUUAAAAAGUUUAUUUUCAUAAUAAUCUAGUUAGUCUCGUUAGAUUUUUAAAGUUAGUAACUAACCUAGUUAGUUUAAAGUAUAAAGUUAGUUCUUCGUUAAAACAACAUAACUUAGUUAAAAUUCAGGGGUGAUUGGUGUAAAUUGUUCAAAGUAUUAGUUUCU